CUAAGAAUAUUCCGCAAUGGCCGAAAGUCUGACGGAGCGACGCCGCGUGGAUGAUGAAGGCCGAAAGGUUGUAAAGUCCUUUUGCUGGGGAAGAAUAACCAUGGGAGGUAAUGCCCGUGGGAUGACAUGAACCGGCGAAUAAGCCCCGGCUAACUACGUGCCAGCAGCCGCGGUAACACGUAGGGGGCGAGCGUUGUUCGGAAUUACUGGGCGUAAAGGGCAUGUAGGCGGCUUGGUAAGCCUGGCGUGAAAGUCACCGGCUCAACCGGUGGAUUGCGUUGGGUACUGCUGAGCUUGAAUCACGGAGAGGGAGCUAGAAUUCCAGGUGUAGGGGUGAAAUCUGUAGAGAUCUGGAAGAAUACCAGUGGCGAAGGCGAGCUCCUGGCCGAUGAUUGACGCUGAGGUGCGAAAGUGUGGGGAUCAAACAG
rnacentral:rRNA from 1 species